rnacentral:sRNA from 2 species
CCUCUUGAGGGGAGUAGUCGCCCUUGCCUCGUGACCUUCGUCAUGGGCAAGGGGCGCGUGUCAACACACUUGGCGGUGACGCCAUGGCACGCGCGGCCGGUCGGCU